UACGUAGGGGGCAAGCGUUGUCCGGAUUUAUUGGGCGUAAAGAGCGUGUAGGCGGCCGUACAGGUCAGCUGUGAAAACUCGAGGCUCAACCUCGAGACGUCGGUUGAAACCGUACGGCUAGAGUCCGGAAGAGGAGAGUGGAAUUCCCGGUGUAGCGGUGAAAUGCGCAGAUAUCGGGAAGAACACCAGUGGCGAAGGCGGCCUUCUGGACCAAUACUGACGCUCAUGCACGAAAGCGUGGGGAGCAAACAGG
rnacentral:rRNA from 1 species